UAAAAUAACAAUAUAUUCAUCAGAGUAAUUAUGCCCCGAAGGGUGUCACACAAUCAUUUCACAAAAAUCCUCAAACAUUCCUGUCAUGCUCAUUUAUUUAAUCAACAUAAGGUUCUUUUGCAUAAUUCGCAGCGGAAUAAAAUCCAACAUCAAUGUAAAACAUGUAACACAAUACAUGUAAAUCAUUCAACCACAAAUAUCAAAUUAAUUAAAACAUUCC
rnacentral:lncRNA from 1 species